GCGUAAUAGCUCACUGGUCGAGUCGGCCUGCGCGGAAGAUGUAACGGGGCUAAACCAUGCACCGAAGCUGCGGCAGCGACACGAUGUGUUGUUGGGUAGGGGAGCGUUCUGUAAGCCUGCGAAGGUGGCCUGUGAGGGUUGCUGGAGGUAUCAGAAGUGCGAAUGCUGACAUAAGUAACGAUAAAGCGGGUGAAAAGCCCGCUCGCCGGAAGACCAAGGGUUCCUGUCCAACGUUAAUCGGGGCAGGGUGAGUCGACCCCUAAGGCGAGGCCGAAAGGCGUAGUCGAUGGGAAACAGGUUAAUAUUCCUGUACUUGGUGUUACUGCGAAGGGGGGACGGAGAAGGCUAUGUUAGCCGGGCGACGGUUGUCCCGGUUUAAGCAUGUAGGCUGGUUAUCCAGGCAAAUCCGGAUAAUCAAGGCUGAGGUGUGAUGACGAGGCACUACGGUGCUGAAGUAACAAAUGCCCUGCUUCCAGGAAAAGCCUCUAAGCAUCAGGUAACACGAAAUCGUACCCCAAACCGACACAGGUGGUCAGGUAGAGAAUACCAAGGCGCUUGAGAGAACUCGGGUGAAGGAACUAGGCAAAAUGGUGCCGUAACUUCGGGAGAAGGCACGCUGGUGUGUAGGUGAAGCCCCUGCGGGUGGAGCUGAGACCAGUCGAAGAUACCAGCUGGCUGCAACUGUUUAUUAAAAACACAGCACUGUGCAAACACGAAAGUGGACGUAUACGGUGUGACGCCUGCCCGGUGCCGGAAGGUUAAUUGAUGGG
rnacentral:rRNA from 1 species